GGAUGUGAGGGCAGUCGGGCUAUGAUAAAUGUCACCCCACUUGUAGCAGGGUUGAUUGGUCCGAUCUGUCCGGCAGCCUGGGUGCCCCCUCCUCCCUCACUGCUCCAUGUUGAAGAGGACGAUCGAUCGUCUCAGAGUAGAGGAGGCCUCGUCCUCAGUCGAGGGCACAGACGCACCGUGCUCCCGGGCUAGAGCCUCCCGUGCUCCCCGGCUAGAGCCUACUGACAAGCUCUCGAGAAGAGAAGCAUAUCAAGGUAAAAUGUUCUAGAUGGCCUUGGGAAACCAAGACUUUAGCUGGUCCUUUAGGUUCAGCUAAAAGCCGCAGAGGCAGUAUGGACCAGACU
rnacentral:sRNA from 1 species